rnacentral:rRNA from 1 species
UACGUAGGGACCAAGCGUUGUUCGGAUUUACUGGGCGUAAAGGGCGCGUAGGCGGCAAUUCAAGUCAUCUGUGAAAUCUCCGGGCUUAACUCGGAACGGUCAGGUGAUACUGCUUUGCUAGAGUGCGGAAGGGGCAAUCGGAAUUCUUGGUGUAGCGGUGAAAUGCGUAGAUAUGCGGAGGAACACCGAUGGCGAAGGCAAUCCCCUGGGCCUGCACUGACGCUCAUGCACGAAAGCGUGGGGAGCAAACAGG